AUCACUUUUUGGCAUUUUGGCUAAGAUCAAAUGUAAUAUUUGUUCUUAUCGUUUAAUAUCUGAUAGGUCUUCUGAGGACAAUAUAUUAAGUGGAUUUUUGGAGCAGGGAGAUGGAAUAGGAGAUUACUAUGUUCACUUGAUGACUUGAUCUGGUAUUGCAGUACCUUCGGGAACAGCGCACUCCCU
rnacentral:snRNA from 1 species